GGUUCCAAUAGCAUUUAAAAUGACUCUCUCAGAUUCAGUGCUUUAAAUAUAUCACAAUCAGCUAGUUGUCAGCGACGCGACGUCGGUAGUGGUAACGAACCUGCGAGAAUUAAAUUCUGACUGGGAAUCAUUGUCAAAGCGAUGAAAUACUUCAACCUCCUGUGCGUCUUGUUUUUGAUGGGGAUCUUCCUGGGGAGCGUCUCCGUUGAGGCGAAAGCUGGUCGUUGCCCAAGCGUUCCACCAGAGACAUUUGGGUCUUGUGCUCAACGAUGCUCAGGAGACAACUCUUGUCCAGGCCGACAGAAGUGCUGCAGCAAUGGAUGCGGAAGAGCAUGCAAGAACCCCUACUAACUUCCCAAGAUUGGUUUGCAAGAUGAUCAGAUACACUCAAAGAUUGUGCUCAACGAUGCUCAGGAGACAACUCUUGCCCAGGCCGACAGAAGUGCUGCAGCAACGGAUGCGGAAAAGCAUGCGCUAACCCCUACUAACUUCCCAAGAUUGGUUUGAAGGAAGAUCAGAUACACUCAAAGAUACAUCUUGAGCAAUAAAAUGCAUUUGCGUUGAUAUUAA